rnacentral:rRNA from 1 species
GGGGAAGGGCAUAUGACUGAGUGGCGGACGGGUGAGUAACGCGUGGGCAACCUGCCCCGCACUGGGGGACAACAGCCGGAAACGGCUGCUAAUACCGCAUAUGCGCACAGCUUUGCAUGAAGCAGUGUGGAAAACUCCGGUGGUGCGGGAUGGGCCCGCGUCUGAUUAGCUGGUUGGCGGGGCAACGGCCCACCAAGGCGACGAUCAGUAGCCGGCCUGAGAGGGUGGACGGCCACAUUGGGACUGAGACACGGCCCAGACUCCUACGGGAGGCAGCAGUGGGGGAUAUUGCACAAUGGGGGGAACCCUGAUGCAGCGACGCCGCGUGAGCGAAGAAGUACCUCGGUAUGUAAAGCUCUAUCAGCAGGGAAGAAAAUGACGGUACCUGACUAAGAAGCCCCGGCUAAAUACGUGCCAGCAGCCGCGGUAAUACGUAUGGGGCAAGCGUUAUCCGGAUUUACUGGGUGUAAAGGGAGCGCAGGCGGCCUGCCAAGUCUGGUGUGAAAACCCGGGGCCCAACCCCGGGCCUGCAUUGGAAACUGGCGGGCUGGAGUGUCGGAGGGGCAGGCGGAAUUCCUAGUGUAGCGGUGAAAUGCGUAGAUAUUAGGAGGAACACCGGUGGCGAAGGCGGCCUGCUGGACGAUGACUGACGCUGAGGCUCGAAAGCGUGGGGAGCAAACAAGAUUAGAUACCCUGGUAGUCCACGCCGUAAUCGAUGAAUACUAGGUGUCGGGGGGCAGGGCCUCCAGGUGCCGCAGCAAACGCAGUAAGUAUUUCACAUGGGGAGUACGUUAGCAAGAAUGAAACUCAAAGGAAUUGACGAGGACCCGCACAAGCGGUGGAGCAUGUGGUUUAAUUAGAAGCAACGUGAAGAACCUUAUCAAGCCUAGACAUCUUCCUGGCAGCAUAUGUAAUGUAUGUUCCCUUCGUGGCAGGAAAGACAGGUGGUGCAUGGUGGUAGUCAGAUCGUGUCGUGAGUUGUUGGUUUAAGUCCAGCAAGGAGAGCAACCCCUGUCCCCAGUAGCAAGAAGGCAGGGGCGGGCAGUGUUUUGGAGAGUCCCGGGGACAACCAGGAGGAAGCAGGGGAUGAUAGUCAAAUUCUCAUUAGCCUGAAGUGGUCGCUUUCAAACCAGCUUCAAGCGGCCGGCAAAAGGAAGGAGAUGUGCAGAAUUCGCCCAAAUCGGACAAAGGGUGCAACACUUGGGAAUGUAUUCUGCAACCCAUGUACAAGAAGCGAUAAUUAGUGAAUAUAACGUAUCGGAGGGUGGUGUCAAAUUCCUUUCCG